AAUCCUCAAUCAAACAAACUGAUUGAUUUAGGAGGAUACUAAUUUGAUUAUGCAAUGAUUUCUUUCCUUUUCCUCCAUCAUCACACCACAAACAAGAUCUUCAAAGAUUGAACUCCAUCAAUGGUGAAUCACUUAAAAAGGCACGAGUGGUGUUAGACUAGACGUCGUCUUCACAGAUCUGAGAGACGAAGCUGUGAACGAGUUCUUGCACGAAGCAACGAGACCGUUGUGAAGCUCUUUCCUCACCACCCACCAUCUGCAGAAAGAGAGAGAGUGAUCAAGAAAAAACAUUAUCUGCAAAAAGUGAUAUUCAAAUCAUCAUACAAAUCCUCAGUCAAACAAACUGAUUGAUUUAGGAGGAUACUAAUUUGAUUAUGCAAUGACUACUUUCCUUUUCCUUCAUCAUCACACCACAAACAAGAUCUUCUCCAUCAAUGGUCUCCUUCAAAUCCAUGGCAAAUCACUCAAAGAAGCUAAAAACAAUCCUCCUCGCCCCAAGAAGGCGUGUCUCCGACCUCUUCCCCUUCCUCGUCUUCUUCGCUUAGAAGCAUCUCCAGCAUAUCAUCUGUGAUGGGAUCCGAGCUCGUGCCACCAACAUCUGCAGCCGAGAUCAAUGACUCUAUAGUCUCCUCUCCCUCACUUUGAUCAAGCCUCUCCAACACAUCAUCUGUGA